rnacentral:rRNA from 1 species
CCCUUAGAUGUUCUGGGCUGCACGCGCGCUACACUGAUGCGCUCAACGAGUUUAUAACCUUGUCCGGCAGGAUUGGGUAAUCUUUUUAAAACGCAUCGUGAUGGGGAUAGAUUAUUGCAAUUAUUAAUCUUCAACGAGGAAUUCCUAGUAAGCGCGAGUCAUCAUCCCGCGCUGAAUACGUCCCUGCCCUUUGUACACACCGCCCGUCGCUCCUACCGAUUGAGUGGUCCGGUGAGGCUUUGGGAUCUGAGCGGAAAGAGCGUUUCGCUGUUUCUGCUCGGAAAACUCAGUCGAACCUUAUCAUUUAGAGGAAGGAGAAGUCGUAACA